AUUUCCUUUUACUUCAGCGUCAGCAAAGCAUUCACUGCUCACUGUAAACCAUGUUGUAAACACACUUUUACUGAAAAUCUGAAAUAGUUUCGGACUACAGGCAAUAAAAAUUUGAUUUAUAUAUUGUUCAAAAGUUAUCACUGCGUGCAAAUCUUUGUUAUAGAAACUCGUAUCAAGCUGCCAUGAUUAUCCCAAUUCGGUGUUUUACUUGUGGGAAAGUUAUUGGAAAUAAGUGGGAGAAAUAUCUUGGUCUCCUACAGGCAGAAUUUACAGAAGGUGAUGCAUUAGAUCAUCUUGGUUUGAAAAGGUAUUGCUGUCGGAGAAUGUUACUGUCACAUGUUGAUCUGAUUGAAAAGUUGUUAAAUUAUGCUCCAUUGGAAAAAUAACACAUUUCAUGGCAACAUUGGUAUUCUAAUGCAAUGUAGCAAAAUACUAUAGUGACAAUAUUAAGGUUAAUCUGCAUUGCCAAAAAUUAACAUAUAAUAUUUUGCUAUAGUUGUUUAUCUAA